AGGGAAAUCCAGUACAACAGAACUGGUGGGCGCACAGUAGAUCCUCUGCCGCACUUUGGAACUUGAUCAGGCUGCUAAGGCCAGGGUAGAUGCCAAAGCACGGUUGACUUUGGGAAUGUUGGCAAGGUCUUGGAUCUACCUGUUAGUGCGUAGUGGCCUCGUCCUACGAGACCAGUGCAGGAAGGUCAUUAUAGGUCAAGAUUUUCUUCUUGAUAGUCGCAAUUGUCUUCGGGAAUUGGAUACGGGUAUGAAGUUAACGGAAAUUCUAAUCACAAGGAAGAUUUGCAGGGAAUCACGCAAGAAAAAACUCGUUUGGACCCAUUCCGGGUCUCACAAAAAUCUUGCAAAAUAUCCAUAAAUUUUUAAAUAUUAUUUUAUGGGGUCGUGUAAAAAAUCAACUCCAACAGACGUCGGUAAGUAUCAGUUUGCCCUUAUAAAUCCAAAAUAAUACAGCUGAUUUUUUAUAAGAUCCCAUAAAAUAAUAUUAAAAAAUUUAUCGAUAUUUUUCUAAAUUUUUUGGGAUAGCCUAAAUGCGUUUUUUCUUACGUAAUUCUCUAUAAAUCUUCUUUGCGAAUAGCAGGUCUCUGAAGUUAAAGUGAAACUACUGUUGAUAAUUACCUUGGCAUACUUGAAACCCAUAUGCUUCUGAGGUUUGUCUUCGUGUUCAGGACGUUGAUGUUCUGAUGGUCAAUGCGCCAGAUCCACUUUCCCUGUCCAAAUGCAUGUCUACUUCUCCAAUGCCUGAACCUCAUCAACAUACUUCUUCCGUCUCUAAAUUAGUGUUCAGCGCUCAAAUCUAAACCUUAUAAAAGAUGCAUUUAUUUCGUUAAUAAAUUUAAUUUCUUUCACAAUUAAAAGAACUCAUUGCUAUUUAUUGAUUUGUGAAAAAAAUUGAUUUUUUUUUAACAAACCAAAUGCAUCUUUUUAAAGACCUAGGUUUGUGUGCCGGACACUUAUUUAGGGACUGAGGGAGUAGCUUUGAGGAUUCCUCGAUCGAUCGGGUUGGAGAUGUUCUUUAGGACACUGCUUUGGACCUUGAAAUUUGCAGUCUAAGAGAAUUAUGGCUUUCCGGUGAUACCGAUUAGAGGUAUGUGGCCCUAUAUCUGUUAAGAUCUGUGCAAUCAGAAAGGACGAAGAUAGACAACGUCAAAGUUGGUGGUCGUAGUGAUGAGGCUACGCCAAACCCCACUCUAGUCGUAGUGAUGAGGACGCAAAACCCCACUCGAAAAAAGCGUAAACGGGAAAGAGAUAUUGGAGACAGCUGUGGUGACCCUCAAAAUUACUGUAUCCCUCAACACCAUGCUUUAUAUUGAUUUUUCUGUCUCUUGUCCUUUAUCCUUGUUUUGCAGGGAUCGGUGUGUUUCGGCAUUAAGGGCAUGCUUGUGUUAUUCUUUUGGGUUUUGUGAGGGUGUUUCGAUUGAUCUUGUUUGUUUAAUUCGGUUUUGUUGUGUCUUCGUUUUGAUUUGUUUUGCUAUAUUGUUUGUAUGGUUGGUAUUCGUGUUGUUUAUUUCUAUCUAUGA